rnacentral:rRNA from 1 species
CGAAGCAACGCGAAGAACCUUACCUAAGCUUGACAUCCCAAUGACAUCUCCUUAAUCGGAGAGUUCCCUUCGGGGACAUUGGUGACAGGUGGUGCAUGGUUGUCGUCAGCUCGUGUCGUGAGAUGUUGGGUUAAGUCCCGCAACGAGCGCAACCCUUGUCUUUAGUUGCCAUCAUUAAGUUGGGCACUCUAGAGAGACUGCCAGGGAUAACCUGGAGGAAGGUGGGGAUGACGUCAAAUCAUCAUGCCCCUUAUGCUUAGGGCUACACACGUGCUACAAUGGGUAGUACAGAGGGUUGCCAAGCCGUAAGGUGGAGCUAAUCCCUUAAAGCUACUCUCAGUUCGGAUUGUAGGCUGAAACUCGCCUACAUGAAGCUGGAGUUACUAGUAAUCGCAGAUCAGAAUGCUGCGGUGAAUGCGUUCCCGGGUCUUGUACACACCGCCCGUCACACCACGGGAGUUGGAGACGCCCGAAGCCGAUUAUCUAACCUUUUGGAAGAAGUCGUCGAAGGUGGAAGCAAUAACUGGGGUGAAGUCGUAACAAGGUAGCCGUAUCGGAAGGUGCGGCUGGAUCACCUCCUUUCUAAGGA